UACAGAGGGGGCAAGCGUUGUUCAGAAUUACUGGGCGUAAAGGGCGCGUAGGCGGCCUUCUAAGUCGAACGUGAAAUCCCCGGGCUCAACCCGGGAACUGCGUCCGAUACUGGAAGGCUUGAAUCCGGGAGAGGGAUGCGGAAUUCCAGGUGUAGCGGUGAAAUGCGUAGAUAUCUGGAGGAACACCGGUGGCGAAGGCGGCAUCCUGGACCGGCAUUGACGCUGAGGCGCGAAAGCCAGGGGAGCAAACGGG
rnacentral:rRNA from 1 species